rnacentral:rRNA from 1 species
UACGAGGGGGGGCUAAUGUUGUUCGGAAUUACUGGGCGUAAAGGGAGCGUAGGCGGGUUUCUAAGUAAGGUGUUUAAUCCCGGGGCCCAACCCCGGACAGGCACUUUAAACUGGAAAUCUUGAAUAGUGGAGAGGUCAGUGGAAUUGGAGGUGUAGCGGUGGAAUGCGUAGAGAUCAUGAGGAAGACCAGUGGCGAAGGCGGGUCUCUGGACAGUUCCUGACACUGAGGCACGGAAGGCCAGGGGAGCAAACGGG